rnacentral:rRNA from 1 species
UUCGGGUCUAGUGGCGCACGGGUGCGUAACGCGUGGGAAUCUACCCUUGGGUUCGGAAUAACAGUUGGAAACGACUGCUAAUACCGGAUGAUGACGAAAGUCCAAAGAUUUAUCGCCCAGGGAUGAGCCCGCGUAGGAUUAGCUAGUUGGUGAGGUAAAGGCUCACCAAGGCUACGAUCCUUAGCUGGUCUGAGAGGAUGAUCAGCCACACUGGGACUGAGACACGGCCCAGACUCCUACGGGAGGCAGCAGUAGGGAAUAUUGGACAAUGGGGGCAACCCUGAUCCAGCAAUGCCGCGUGAGUGAUGAAGGCCUUAGGGUUGUAAAGCUCUUUUACCCGAGAUGAUAAUGACAGUAUCGGGAGAAUAAGCUCCGGCUAACUCCGUGCCAGCAGCCGCGGUAAUACGGAGGGAGCUAGCGUUGUUCGGAAUUACUGGGCGUAAAGCGCACGUAGGCGGCGAUUUAAGUCAGAGGUGAAAGCCCGGGGCUCAACCCCGGAACUGCCUUUGAGACUGGAUUGCUAGAAUCUUGGAGAGGCGGGUGGAAUUCCGAGUGUAGAGGUGAAAUUCGUAGAUAUUCGGAAGAACACCAGUGGCGAAGGCGGCCC